UAUUGUUGUUAAUAAAGCCAAAACUCCAGCAAGAAGCUGAGAUUUGUCUCUUUGCAUAAAUUCUGAUUUAGAGCAGGUUGGGAAAGCCUCCUGCUCAGUUUUCCUGCUCCUCUCAUCUUUUGUUUCUUAUUGAGUUAAAGUUGUGUGUUCUGUAGCUAACCCUAAUAUUCCAUCAAAAUUGCUGUCUGCCUCUUUCACUAGCUGCCAGGGGAACAGCUUGGCAGUUUCAGGUGCAUGCCCUGGAGUAGCUGCUCUCCGCAACAUCCAGCCGGCUCAGACUGGGAGGCGGUGUGGUUCUCCAAUGCCUCGGAGAGGGACAAGCUCUGCCGGACACCAGAAUGGGUGGAGCCAGAGCACUCCAAGCCCACCCCCCAGAGAGUGAGAGGCUGGACAGGAAGUAUAAGAGCUCAACCCCAGAGCUCACUCGAGAGGCAGCUGCUGGAGAGGCCAGACACCUCCAGCCCAGCUCCCGCGUGGAAGACUCUAGCAGGCAGCGGUGGACCUGGAGACUGCUCUGACCAGCCAAUACUCGACACGGACCCGCGUGUGGGAGAGUCGCUGAGCCUACCCCAAGGAUCCAGUGGUGAUCGGCCCCCCCUGAGGACACCACCUUGACCCAGAGCUCUAAGAAUUCAGGAGCACUCCAAGAUCAUCCAGGGCCUGACGCGUGCUGUCUCUGACACUCACCAAAGAUAAAUCACAUGUUCUGAAGUUUCAGAAGUAAUCACUUUGAUUUGGAUUGCAUCCUACAGUAGCUGUGCUGCAUCAAUCCCAGAAGGAAUGAUUGCAUUUCAUCAGCUGACCUCUGAAUGUGUCAAUCCUGAAAAGUAAUUUGACCUUUUCCUAGGAGCCAUAUGCAGAAGAUGGGACCAAACUGUCUCAGCUCAAUCUAAAUGCAGCAUCACUGUCAUUGUAUGAAAUCUUGAGACUCUGUCUUUAUUGAGAAGUGAUGAAAUGUUUAUGAAAAGAGACACUGCACAUUUCUUAUUGCAUUUUGAUGCUGAAACCCUGUAACAACUGAAACAUUUGCAGAAACGAAUAUUAAAAUAUCAUACACUGUUCUCACAUAUAGCUAAUUUUUAAAUGUUAAAGAAUAGUAAAAGAGAGAAUAGUUAUACUUUA